GACGAACGCUGGCGGCGUGCUUAACACAUGCAAGUCGAACGGAAAGGCCUGCUUUCCCUUGUGGAUUGCGGGUACUCGAGUGGCGAACGGGUGAGUAACACGUGAGUGAUCUGCCCCCAACUUGGGUAUAAGCCUGGGAAACUGGGUCUAAUUUCCGAUAGGACUGCAGGGUGGUGCCUGUGGUGGAAAACGAUUUUCUAGUGGUUGGGGAUGAGCUCGCGGCCUAUCAGCGUGUGGGUGGGGUAAUGGCCUACCAAGGCGGCGACGGGUAGCCGGCCUGAGAGGGUGGACGGCGACAUUGGGACUGGGACACGGCCCAGACGCCUACGGGAGGCAGCAGUGGGGAAUAUUGCACAAUGGGCGGAAGCCUGAUGCAGCGACGCCGCGUGGGGGAUGACGGCCUUCGGGUUGUAAACUCCUUUCGACCGCGAGGAAGCCACCUGGUUGGAAGGGUGGUGACGGUAGUGGUAGAAGAAGCACCGGCUAACUACGUG
rnacentral:rRNA from 1 species